CACCGUUGCUAGUGUGGACUGUAGAAAGCGUGGGAUCCUUCUUGACGUGAUAGUCCAAUAUUGAUAAAGGCCUCUUCGAUUCGUUUAAAAACAAGAAGGCUUUUUGUACGGUGGCACACGUGCACGUGGAGGUAAAAAUAGUAGUUACUAAGCAUACUGAGCGCUGGUGGUCGCAUUAAUCCAUUUAUUUUCACGACUUUGCCAUGUGUAUCAAGACGACAACACUGACGUACUGUCUGACUGUCAUGACUGUAGGCCCUACGUGUAAGAAAUUAGUCCCUGAGGAAUGACUGACAAGCACACCUAGUACCUACGUGAGUUCGUGAUAUGGAGGCAUGCAGGAAGGACGUAUGGAGUAGGUCUGCCUAGUAAUCUAACGCACCCUACCGGUAUAUGCCUGCAUUGCAUUGGCACACUUUGAUGUUGGACCCCACACCUGCAUACACACCUGGCAACUGGCAGUCAGUUAAGAGAUGACUGGACGACAGAGACAUAUCAAGCCCUUACUGUCAUAAUAUCUGCUCUUGGAACAUUGAUGAAGGUCCAAGCAAGGCGGUCAGAUUGUGGAAUCAACGAGGGCCAGCAGUCUGCAACCUCUAGAAGAAGUUUUAAAAAAGGAUGAAAACUGCAUGUAUCACUUUGCAAAUAGUGAUCUUGGCCCUAACCCCGCCAGAUGCGGCAUACUGCAGCAGAAGUAAAAGUCUGAUGCACCAUAGCCGUGUUCCCAUUGGACUUUUUUCCGCAGGCACAGGAAAACCUACUGCGACAUUCCUUCAUGUCAAUCUACCGCGCAUUCCCACGUGGACUUUUUUCCAACCGUAACGGAAUGUUUAUUCGCUGCGUCAGGCUGCUCUACUGCUGUACUGCACGCAUGGAGCUGGAGGCUGGCGACAACUGUUUUCUCUGUGUAGGCAGGAGUCUGGUUUGUAUGUUUAACGUGGUUGCAGUCAAUCUGCAUUGUAUGGGAACUGCUCCCAUUGGACUUUUUGCGCCCCUGCUAACUUACCCUGGCUGUGGCUUUUUGGCCUGUUAGUUUUACAUUGCGAUCGCGGUAAGUUGACAGGGACGUUAGUUUACCAUGUGUUCCCAUUGGAUUUAAUUUUGUAAUUCUACAGGAUCGUCGCAGUAAGUUAACCAGAAAAUGUCCAAUGGGUGCACUCCUUUUGAUGCACUGGGCAAUCCAAAGCAGCCAAACAAACUGGUCAUGUUGAGAGAGCUGGUCUCAUUGAACAAGGACACAGUUGGAUCUUGUGGUGACUGGCAACCACAGACUCCCAGGCUGUUUGGCCUCGGGAAGAGUUGACCUGUAGGAUCUUGUUACAUACAUGCAGGGCCAACAAAUUACUUUGACAAAUGAUGCAGACUGAUGUGUCUGGCCGGGUUUCUAGCCAAACAACCCUGAACAGUUAGGGUUACAUAUUGUGCUUGUUUUAUUUAUGAGACUGGUUUUGGAAUCAUUCAGACUAAUUGACAGAAAUGAGGCCUUUCUAUUUCUCCAGUCCAGUCAACUUUUUUUUUAUUGUUGAGGGCACUUGUUGGCAAGUGGAUAGGAGCAGAGAUGGUAGUGAGAGUGGAAGAAACCUGUGCUGUCCAUCCAGGAGGAGUCUGUCUUCUGCCGUGACUCAAUCCUGGCAGGAGGAAUUUCUGUUGUGUUUGCUGCAUCAGAGGCUCUGCUAU
rnacentral:lncRNA from 1 species